CUAACACAAAUGGUAGCCAAUUUUUUAUAACAUUGGCACCAUGUCAGUCAUUGGAUGGAAAACAUACAAUUUUUGGAAGAGUUUGCAGGGGGAUGGAAGUUAUUAAACGUCUUGGAAGUGUGCAAACAGACAACAGUGAUAGCUAGGCGACAACGCGUCGCCGGAACCUCACUAUGCGACAGGCCCAGAAGCGUCGUUGAGCUCGGGAGAUGCGUGUGGACGGGUCGUUGUGCUCGUCACCUGGCUCGGGUGACACUUCCAGACUCACGCAACGUGUUCGGACUCGUCGCAUGACCCAAGCAACACGUUCGGACACGUCGCGGUGGCAAAAUGGCAGCAGCGGCGACAGUUCUAGGUUAGUUGUGGAAGGAGGUGAGUUUAUCCCCUAAAGCACUGCCUUAGGCAAAGCGGCUGCACCUGCCUAGGCGACCGCCUCGGCCGCCAUUUGGAACACUGUUUGCAAUAUCAAGAGAAGUACAAUAGGCCCCAAUCAGGAGCAUGUUGUUAGAGGGAAUGGAAUUGGUUGCGUUGGAGAGGGAUAGAGGAUCAUGCAUAUGUCGAGCGGUGCAGUUUUGCUGUUUGCUUGGUCCAAAAUGUCUCUGACUGAAGAAAUUUGAACUUCGGACGAAUCCACAAAAAAUUGCUUGCCCGAAGGUGUGCCUAGCGUUGAUAUAGUAUUGAAAUUGUAUCAUUAUGGUCAAAGGCCAAUCCCAAGCAUGGAAAAAACUUUAAACCUUGAUUUUUGUUUUAUUUUCCUAGUAAAUAAUGGUAAUAUUAGGUUUGAAGAAAUUUUAAACUGAUACCCAAGCAUGGAAAGUUCAUAGAUUUGGACUAAAGGUUUGAACUUCAUUCAUCUUCUCUUUGCUAUACGUUUCUUAAUAUUGUGGUAUAUCUCUUACCUUACUCAUAGCUUAGUGGAGAUAAUGAUUGCCAAUGUUCAAAAUCUUAUUCUGAGUGAGGGUUCUGGUUCCUGAUCGGAGCGAGAUGAUGAGGGUGUCAUGCUGGAUGUACUGACGCAUCAUGCCUGAGGUACCAAGAAGAAGAAAAACCAGGGAAGAGAAAAGGAGGAAAAUGAUUGAAAACCUAACCUAACUUCCUUGCUGCUGCCUCAUGCCACAAAGGCAAAGAAGAGAGGGAGCAGCAAUGUGACGUUGAGAAGAUAAGGGAAAUGAAGAAAUCAUGAAGAAGAAAAGGUACACAACUGGAUGCCUGAAGAAAAGAGGUCAUGGUUUAGUCAAGAAAGUGAAGAAGUGAAGACAACAGUCACUUACUUGAUUCUUCUUCACUUCCGGCUGCCUUUGAUUCCUUCUUUUUUUGGCAGCAAGGAGGUUAGGUCCUCAAGCAAAGGGGUCUGCUGUGUCGCCUUCCUCACAGAAUCAGGCCAAUACAUGAUGUGAAGAUACUAAGAACAGUAGUCGAAGAUUGAAGUGCUCAAGCUGCAAGGCAAAGGAAAAUCCGAGAAGCAUUUUAUGCUGCAUUAACAUGUGCCAGAUACUAUGCGCGAGUGGCCUUGUAAGGUUGCCAAAUCAUGGAGCCUUGAAAUUCUAUUUAGAGAACUUGUUUUUAAAAAUUUGCGCAAAAAAAUUUGCUGUUUAGUUUGGAGGAAAGUGUAGACCAGGCUAUGGUUUUAUUGUAUUCUUCAUCCGAGACACACAGUGCAAACGAACUCAAUUUUAUCAAUUUUGUUCCAGUACUUUUCUUUUACA